UAUGAUACCACAAUUUAAUUUUAUGUGAUAGAUGAUAUAGGUUAUAUAUUUACAUUAAUAGAGAAAGAGAGAGAGAGCAAGUAGACUGGGAUGGCCACAGCAACAGCUUAUUCCUUCUUCUUCUCAUCAACAACUUUUGUGAGGCAAUAUUCCAAGAGCCAACAAUAUGGAUUAAGUGAUAGGAAAUGUAAGCCAAAUUUGGGAUUAUUAAUGGUGAAAGCUCAAAGUAAUAAUAGUUAUUAUAGAAGCCAAGUCCGUGAAGAGGAUAUCGUCAUUGUGGGUGGUGGAAUUGCUGGCCUUGCCACCGCCGUAUCACUCCACAGGCAAGGGGUUGGAUCAUUGGUACUUGAGCAAGGAGAGUCACUUCGGACUGGUGGAAUUGCACUGUCUCUUUACAAGAAUGGGUGGAGAGUGUUGGAUGCAAUUGGAGUUGGCUCUGAUAUCAGAUCCCAAUUCAUUGAGCUUCAAGGGGUGAUCAUACAGUCAGUUGAUGGAAGGGUACUAAAGGCCUUCAAUUUCAAGGAUGAAGAUGAAAGCCAAGAAGCGCGAGCAGUCGAGAGAGGAGUACUGCUAAAGACUCUUGCAAGCCAGCUACCGCCGGAGACUAUUCGUUUCUCGUCGAAGUUGACAAAGAUUAGUAGAAGACAUAUUGGAGAUGACACUAUGUUGGAGCUAGCCGAUGGAACUCGCUUAUCUGCCAAGGUUGUAAUUGGUUGUGAAGGAAUUGGAUCUCCCAUAGCCAAGUGGAUGGGGUUCCCCGAACCUAAAUAUGUUGGGUAUUGUAGCAUCCGUGGGCUUGGAUACUUUCCUAAUGGUCAUUCAUAUCAAAACAACAUAACCAACAUUAAUGGAAGUGGUGUCCGAGCAGGAUGGUUUCCUGUUUCUUCUACUAAAAUAUAUUGGAAUAUAAGCUUUAAGCGCGACUCUCCCGGUCCUAAAAUCAGUGACCCAGAUGAACUGAGAAAGCAAUCGAAAGACCUACUACGAGGGUGGCCUGCCGAGACACUACUAAACAUCAUUGAUCAUACACUAGACGAUACGAUCAUUAGAGCACCCACGGCCGAUCGAUGGUUGUGGCCUGGCCUUAAUCCGUUGGCUUAUUCAGGAAGAGUGGUGGUUGUGGGUGAUGCAUGGCAUCCAAUGACUCCCAAUUUAGGACAAGGAGCUAGUAUUGCGUUGGAAGACUCGGUUGUUUUGGGUAGAAAGCUUGCACACGCAGUUAAAUCGGGAUCAUCAUCGUCAGUGGAAGAGGCUUUGGAGUCAUAUGAGAGAGAAAGAUGGCCCGUAGUGUUUCCUCUGGCCAUAAAAGCCAAUUUAUUAGGAGAGGUUCUACAAACGAGGAAUUCGAUUGUUGGUUAUUUUAGGGACAAUAUUUUCAUCCCAAGGCUAAACCCUCAAAGCAUGUUUAAGCAUACCAACUUUGAUGUUCAGCCCUUAGGCUUACACACCAAAUAAUAAUUUCAUCUUCCAAGAUCUCUCUCAUGUGUUGAGAACCAGCCCACACUAGUUCUAGAUUGAUCAAAGGCUUGGUGAGGAAGACUGUGUUGCUGAUCUAGUUCAAUCUCUUGAUAAUACUCUGCUACAGAAAGGAAUCAAGAGUUAGAGAGAUUGAAGGAAGGAGUUGUUCCAGUUCCGCUGCGUAUUCGAAAUAAGCUUUAGAGGCGGAAAGAUUCGUGACGCUUAGAGGAUGUGUAUCGAUGGUGAAUGGAGUCAAAGGGCCGAGCGUUAUUCGAUUCGAGGAUGUAGUUACUGUUUUAUGUCUUUUUAUGGUUUUACAUGUAUUUUCCGCAAUUCUUAUAUAAUGUCUUUUUAUUAAAUCAUGUUUUGUUUUUAAAGACAAUGGGAUCCCAUAUCCUUCUUAGUAUUCUAUUUAUUUGUAACUCUUAUUUUUACAAGUUACUCAAUAAAAUUCAUAUGGUAUUUUCGUAAAAA